AUUACAGUUAUCUGUCUUGUGUUAAAUCCACGCUUGGAUGUGAUUUAAUGAAAAGCUGCUCUACGAGCUAGUUUCAAUAUAAUUGGUUUGAAUACAAUUGCAUUUUGAAAUCUCCAAACCAAGUUUAUUAUCAGUGGAUAAUACAUUGAAUGGGUUACAUCUAAUAAUCUGUCCAAUUGAUAUCCCAUGUGGUGAAAUCUAGUUCAAUACCACUUUUUAAGUGUUUUAAUUACCUUUUGAAGACACGUUAAAGUUGCUUGUCCAUAUUGUGAUCCUUUGAUUAUAAUAAACCCCUGAUGAAGUCUGUAAAACGAAACGCGUUGGGUUAAGACAGCGAUUUUGUCAUUCCUUCAAGGAGGAUUAAUCAUCAUGUCGAUAUGUGACUGAAAUGAAUUGUUACCAACACAAAUAUCU